AACGAACGCUGGCGGCAUGCCUAACACAUGCAAGUCGAACGAGACCUUCGGGUCUAGUGGCGCACGGGUGCGUAACGCGUGGGAACCUGCCCUUAGGUUCGGAAUAACUCCCCGAAAGGGGUGCUAAUACCGGAUAAUGUCUUCGGACCAAAGAUUUAUCGCCUUUGGAUGGGCCCGCGUUGGAUUAGCUAGUUGGUAGGGUAAAAGCCUACCAAGGCGACGAUCCAUAGCUGGUCUGAGAGGAUGAUCAGCCACACUGGGACUGAGACACGGCCCAGACUCCUACGGGAGGAAGCAGUGGGGAAUAUUGGACAAUGGGCGAAAGCCUGAUCCAGCAAUGCCGCGUGAGUGAUGAAGGCCUUAGGGUUGUAAAGCUCUUUUACCCGGGAUGAUAAUGACAGUACCGGGAGAAUAAGCGCCGGCUAACACCGUG
rnacentral:rRNA from 1 species